GAACGCAGAGCCCCGGGGAUUGAGGGUGGUGAGCUCAGGAGCCUUAACUCAAAACUGAACCAUGAAUUCAGGCACGCUGUCAGCACCUUGGACAGACACCAGGGCCCGCACUAUCCUCGAAGGGCAGUCUUUUAAGAACCUGGAAUAACUGGGGAUUUAGCUCAGUGGUUCUGGAAUCUGCCUUGCAAACGGAAGGACCCGAGUUUGAUCCCCCAAAAAAGAGCCUGGAACAGUCAAAAACUGGAACUCUACUUCAAACUGUGACAGGCUAAUAUUUGGAUGAGCUGAGUGAACCUGUGGAGGCACUAAAUGUCAACGGUGGUUGUGAAAAGCAGUGUAAAUUUACAGGCACAUUUUUCUUUACCUAAAACCAGAUGAAGUUUCUUGAACAGAGGUGCAUAUGCAUGAGGGGAGGAAAUGCUCUGGUCAAAAGAAUGUGCCCUGAAGACAAAUACAAAGACUGACAAUGGAAUUUAUUGAGUGCUCAAGGAGAGAUUUGGACACAAAUGCACACAGGAAAAAGACUAUGCAGAGAUGAAGGCAGAGGUGGAGUGAUACAUCUACCACUCAAGGAACACGAAAGAUUGCCAGCAAUCA